rnacentral:tRNA from 1 species
GGAAAUGUGGCUUAGUGGUAGAGUAUAUGCCUAGCAUGCAUGAAGCCCUGGGUUCGAUUCCUCAGUACCA